AGAACCUUACCAAGGCUUGACAUAUACGAGAACGCGCUAGAGAUAGCGAACUCUUUGGACACUCGUAUACAGGUGGUGCAUGGUUGUCGUCAGCUCGUGUCGUGAGAUGUUGGGUUAAGUCCCGCAACGAGCGCAACCCUCGUCGCAUGUUGCCAGCACGUAAUGGUGGGAACUCAUGUGAGACUGCCGGGGUCAACUCGGAGGAAGGUGGGGAUGACGUCAAAUCAUCAUGCCCCUUAUGUCUUGGGCUUCACGCAUGCUACAAUGGCCGGUACAAAGGGCUGCGAUGUCGUAAGGCGGAGCGAAUCCCAAAAAGCCGGUCUCAGUUCGGAUUGAGGUCUGCAACUCGACCUCAUG
rnacentral:rRNA from 1 species